GGAUUAGAUACCCUGGUAGUCCACGCCGUAAACGAUGUCUACUAGUUGUUGGGAGACUUGAUCUCUUAGUAACGAAGCUAACGCGAUAAGUAGACCGCCUGGGGAGUACGGCCGCAAGGUUAAAACUCAAAUGAAUUGACGGGGGCCCGCACAAGCGGUGGAGCAUGUGGUUUAAUUCGGAGCAACGCGAAGAACCUUACCAGGUCUUGACAUCCUGAGAACUUUCUAGAGAUAGAUUGGUGCCUUCGGGAACUCAGAGACAGGUGCUGCAUGGCUGUCGUCAGCUCGUGUCG
rnacentral:rRNA from 1 species